UCUCCUCCCUGUCCUAUUUCACUUAGAGUUUAGCAUUUAAUUGUUCUCUGAUUAUUUCUGCUGUUAAGAGUCAGUCAGUGGCAAGGUCAGGGGGUCACUUGGUGACCGAAAUCGGGGUCAGUCUGAAAGUAGAGUGAGGGGUCAGAGUGAGGUCAGAAUUGGGGUUCAUCCAGACUGGCAAGGUUUGGAGAUAGUGUGGGUAGAAGUUGGCAGCCGUCAGUCUGUGGCUGGGCUUAAUAGACAGGGUGUGAGGGUUAGUCUGAAUAGCAUCAGCGGCCAAGGCUAGUGAGUCAAUCUUUGGGUAGAGUCAGUGGACAGUCUGGAUCAGGGUAGUAGGUCACCCAGAGACCAGGAUUUAGGGGUGGCCUUUGGUAAGCCAGAUAAGGGGAAGGGGGCGCUGUAGCUCUCUGAACUUGGAUUCAUAUCCCUCCAUGGCUGGGGGCUGACCAUAGCCUCUCCCUGCAUCACCCAGGCUGUGGAGCGGCCCUUCCAUCUGGGACACACCCUGUCCUCAACACCACCCUGCUCCUACCUUGUGCCAGAGCCUGGAGGCAAAACCCUCAUUGAGCCAGACCAUGGUCAGACUGGCAGUAACACUGGCCGUGGCAGGCAGGCCUUGGGCUUCCAAGGGAUCCGGCCUUGGAGCCACCCAUGUUUAGCAGGGUUGCUGUGAGGAUUAGAGAAGUGCACAAAAAGUGCCUGGCAUGUAGUCAUUGCUCCGUAAGUGAGAGUUCUUCAAAGCCUGGCUGGUUUUUUAACUCCGUAAGAGCCCUCUUUUUUAUAUUCUUUAAUAAAACAGGAUUAUGGUCUUUGUGCCUUAUAUAAUU